rnacentral:rRNA from 1 species
UACGAAGGGGGCUAGCGUUGUUCGGAAUUACUGGGCGUAAAGCGCGCGCGGGCGGCGGACUUAGUCAGAGGUGAAAGGCCUGGGCUCAACCUGGGAAUGGCCUUUGAUACUGGUCUGCUGGAGGCCGGAAGAGGGUAGUGGAACUCCCAGUGUAGAGGUGAAAUUCGUAGAUAUUGGGAAGAACACCGGUGGCGAAGGCGGCUACCUGGUCCGGAUCUGACGCUGAGGCGCGAAAGCGUGGGGAGCAAACAGG